GCUCCUAUAGUUCAAUGGAUAGAACACGGGUUUUCUAAACCUGGAAUCUAGGUUCGACUCCUAGUGGGAGCA
rnacentral:tRNA from 1 species